GUUGGUGAUAUGACCUUCUCGUUUCCUGCUUGUGUGCUAAUGCCAAGAUUAUAUUCCAGCAGUUUUUUACAUUUCCUAGGUGCUUCAUUAAAAAUUUUUAUUUUCCUUUCCUUCUUCUCUUGGUCUUCAAUUUCUCUUCUUCUGUGCAUGCAAACCCAAACCCCUUGCUUUCUUCUUUCGAUUUUGUUGGUUCUUCAUCAUGCCCAGGUCUAGAGAACCCUUGUAAAUGAGAAAUCGCUAAGGGGCACCAUCCAUAACCGCUAGUUGGUUAAGCGCGGAGAAACGGUUCGCAACCACUAGGAGGGGCCACCGUUCUCCUUUAAAAACCCCAAAUUUCUUGAACUUCCUCUUCAAUUUGUUGAAGGCCAGGCUUGACAAGGUCACUUCGCGAGGUGUGGAGCAACUUGGAGAGAAAAUCACAAGGCAGUUCCCUCUUCUCUUGAUUUGGCAAGCUGCUGGGAAAGACGCAAUCGAGGGCA
rnacentral:lncRNA from 1 species